rnacentral:lncRNA from 1 species
GGACAGCCCCCUUCCCACCGGGGGACGCCCCCCUCCCCCAAAGGACUGGGAAUCCUCCCCCACCCCCCUUUGAAGUCUGAUGCCCUUCCCCCACCAGCACGCGGGCUCCUCGGAGAUCGCGAGGCCCGUGUUCAGCUUCUCAGAGGGAGGUCUCCAGCGUGCAAGCCGUGGCUGUUCCGGGCCUGUUGUCCUUCGGUGCAGGAAUCGCUUUUGGGGGGCUGAGACCCUUCAGGAGGUGACGGCUGGCUUCGUCGUGCUUCGUUCACUCUCUGUUCUCUGUUCUUCUUCAAGAGGCAUGGCCUUUGGAAAAGAGGAAAUGGCCCCUGUGCUGACAGCAAGGGUCCAACAGGAGUCUCCCAUCCAUCAUCCUGUUCCUCGGGGGUGA